rnacentral:lncRNA from 1 species
AGAACUUUUUAAAAGAGGCAAAGGCAGAGGAGAAAAAAGGAAGGAGGAAGUAACUUGUGGAAUGCUGAGAAAGAAGAAGCCAUUUAGAUUUUACAGAAAUGUAGCUCCUCAUACAUUAUAUUGUUCCUAUGAAGAAUUAGAUUGAAUAAAGCUGCUUUGAAUAAAGCUCGUAUUACCAGCUACCACAUGUGAUGGAAAGAAUCCAAGUUAAACACUCUCACCAGAGCAUGCUCCAAGACAGAUGACUGAGCCCCAGGCUUGGCCAAUACAAUGCACUUCUAUUCUCUAUUUAUUUUUGUAGUUCAAAGACCUGGCAGUAACCCACUUGAUGCCUGCCAUAAGGACCAGUACACUCCUGAUUACUGCCCAGCGAUUUUAUAUCUGUAUGCCAGCUACUCAGACCACGUAUAAAGACUAGGGGGAUUUUUUGAAAGGAAAAGAAACCCCGGCUUCCACUUAUACUUUGAAAUUUCAGAUGAUGUACUGCCAACUUACAGACCUUGCUUUAAUCAGCAGCCACAUGAAAAGGCUGUUUCUAUUUACUCUAGGUCAUUUAGGAAACAAGCAAUAAGUAGGCCUUGCAAAAUUUCAGCUUCUCUUAAAGUUGGCAUGUUUUCCUCAAAUAGAGAGUUGAAUCUUGAUUUCAUUUUCUGAGUAGAAAUAUUUACAAUCCUGUCAUACAUGAAUUUUAGCCUUCCUUCUGUCUAACAACAAAUAGGCUUUUUAAAGAAUGCUUAGCGUUAAACUGGAGGCUGUUUUGUAAAGGUGGGUCUGUAUAGAUUUGAAUAAUGACUACGCUGCUUUACUGCUCUAGUUAAAAUUUCAUCAAAUACUGACUUUAGCUGGAAAAAGAUAAUUUAAGCCCAUCCUAUUUUAGUUUUAAAUUGUGUAUAUAUAAAAAGGUAAUCUUGCAGAACAUAAAGUAACAACUACAAUAUUCAGAAAUUCAUUAAUAUUAGAAAGAUAAAAAAUGAUUAGGGUACCAAUAUGUUCUUUGGUCCAUAAUGAAUUUCUUUUCUCUUGGUUGUUCAUACUAUUUUGAUUAUCAGUGUAAUGAAGAGAUUUUGUGUAGUCCUUAAUAUUGUGACAAAGUAUCAUAUUUGUAUUAUCAAUUUUUAAAAAAUAUUUUCUUCCUUUAUUAUGUAGAGUCAAUAUUACACCAUUUUCUGCUGUAAACUUGCAACUUGGUAUCUGACACUUCACACUUCACAAUUGUAAAAGCCUUACAACAAUACAAUUUCACUGAUACCCUCA